rnacentral:rRNA from 1 species
GACGAACGCUGGCGGCGUGCUUAACACAUGCAAGUCGAACGAUGAAGCCGGAGCUUGCUCUGGUGAAUUAGUGGCGAACGGGUGAGUAACACGUGAGUAACCUGCCCUUGACUCUGGGAUAACUGCUAGAAAUGGUAGCUAAUACCGGAUACGACCCUCGGAGGCAUCUCCAGGGGGUGGAAAGAAUUUCGGUCAAGGAUGGACUCGCGGUCUAUCAGCUAGUUGGUGAGGUAACGGCUCACCAAGGCGACGACGGGUAGCCGGCCUGAGAGGGUGACCGGCCACACUGGGACUGAGACACGGCCCAGACUCCUACGGGAGGCAGCAGUGGGGAAUAUUGCACAAUGGGCGCAAGCUUGAUGCAGCAACGCCGCGUGAGGGAUGACGGCCUUCGGGUUGUAAACCUCUUUUAGUAGGGAAGAAGCGAAAGUGACGGUACCUGCAGAAAAAGCACCGGCUAACUACGUGCCAGCCGCCGCGGUAA